UCGUGGAUUAUUAGUCCCUAAAAAGAAAAAAAUUAAUGCAUAUCCACGCACCAUGCACGGAUCGAGGAGUUAGCGGCGAUUCAGCACCAUCACGAUGCAAGCAAAAGAAUGCGGCGGCGCACGCACGACGCUAUUGCCGGAUGUCAAUUUUCUCCUCAUCUCCUACAGUCUGCGUGGUUGCCGGUUGUGUAUCUGCGUGGUUGCCGGCUGUGUAUCUGUACCUUGUCCUCAUCCGUCCAGUGAGGCCACGACGCCGACCGGCGCGGCGGCGCCCAGCGAACUGCACCACAUCCCCGUCCGGACGUACACCAGAUGAGGAGGAAUAUGAGCGAUUCAAGUGAUUUGAAUGUGGUGGUGGUAUUUGCUGUGGAAAAGCAAACUAUUGUUAAUCAAGAGGAUGAAGGUCCUAUGGAAGAUAUGCUGCCAAAGUUGACACACAUGAAAUUAUUAGGUACUGAGUUGGGGACGGCACAAGCUCCAGCGGUGUGCAAGGGCUCAGAGUGGCCAUCUUCAAAGCACGUUGGUGACCAUGUCGGGGAGGGGAAGACAACAGCCCACUGCAUUUGACAAGGAGAAUUCAUUAAGGGGCGCUAGACUAAUACUUGCGCCUUCAGUGCCAGUCUCGAGAAUUCAUUCAACUUCAUCAAGCCGUGAGGCGCUUUAUCAGCAAAGAGAACGUUUGUAUAAAACACUCCAGUUUCUCCAAAACACCAUCCUUGAACAGGAUUUGUCAUUUUUUCAUAGUCAUCUAGGUUAGCCACCACACAAGUUUGAUCUUAGACCAAACAGCGUUAUUGAAGACCUGAUAAUUUCUAGUUUUCCAAAUGCACCACGGAGUACAAGCGCAAAUAGAAUUAAGAGCAUAAUGAUUUUUGUUAUGUAGCAAAAAUCUCGGCACCUGUAAAAAAUCAACA